UACGAAGGGGGCUAGCGUUGUUCGGAAUUACUGGGCGUAAAGCGCACGUAGGCGGAUCCGAUCAGUCAGGGGUGAAAUCCCAGGGCUCAACCCUGGAACUGCCUUUGAUACUGGUCGAUCUGGAGUAUGGAAGAGGUGAGUGGAAUUCCGAGUGUAGAGGUGAAUUCGUAGAUACUUCGGAAGAACACCAGUGGCGAGGCGACUCACUGGACAUGUAAAUUGACGCUGAG
rnacentral:rRNA from 1 species